AGAGUUUGAUCCUGGCUCAGAUUGAACGCUGGCGGAACGCUUUACACAUGCAAGUCGAACGGUAACGCGGUGAGAAGCUUGCUUCUCACCGGCGACGAGUGGCGAACGGGUGAGUAAUACAUCGGAACGUGUCCGCUCGUGGGGGACAACCAGCCGAAAGGUUGGCUAAUACCGCAUGAGUUCUACGGAAGAAAGAGGGGGACCCGCAAGGGCCUCUCGCGAGCGGAGCGGCCGAUGACUGAUUAGCCGGUUGGUGAGGUAACGGCUCACCAAAGCAACGAUCAGUAGCUGGUCUGAGAGGACGACCAGCCACACUGGGACUGAGACACGGCCCAGACUCCUACGGGAGGCAGCAGUGGGGAAUUUUGGACAAUGGGGGAAACCCUGAUCCAGCCAUGCCGCGUGCGGGAAGAAGGCCUUCGGGUUGUAAACCGCUUUUGUCAGGGACGAAAAGUCGUAUUUAAAUAAAGUACGAUGCUGACGGUACCUGAAGAAUAAGCACCGGCUAACUACGUGCCAGCAGCCGCGGUAAUACGUAGGGUGCAAGCGUUAUCCGGAAUUAUUGGGCGUAAAGGGCUCGUAGGCGGUUCGUCGCGUCCGGUGUGAAAGUCCAUCGCUUAACGGUGGAUCUGCGCCGGGUACGGGCGGGCUGGAGUGCGGUAGGGGAGACUGGAAUUCCCGGUGUAACGGUGGAAUGUGUAGAUAUCGGGAAGAACACCAAUGGCGAAGGCAGGUCUCUGGGCCGUUACUGACGCUGAGGAGCGAAAGCGUGGGGAGCGAACAGGAUUAGAUACCCUGGUAGUCCACGCCGUAAACGGUGGAUGCUGGAUGUGGGGCCCGUUCCACGGGUUCCGUGUCGGAGCUAACGCGUUAAGCAUCCCGCCUGGGGAGUACGGCCGCAAGGCUAAAACUCAAAGAAAUUGACGGGGGCCCGCACAAGCGGCGGAGCAUGCGGAUUAAUUCGAUGCAACGCGAAGAACCUUACCUGGGCUUGACAUGUUCCCGACAGCCCCAGAGAUGGGGCCUCCCUUCGGGGCGGGUUCCGCCGGGGUCAACUCGGAGGAAGGUGGGGAUGACGUCAAAUCAUCAUGCCCCUUACGUCCAGGGCUUCACGCAUGCUACAAUGGCCGGUACAACGGGAUGCGACAUGGCGACAUGGAGCGGAUCCCUGAAAACCGGUCUCAGUUCGGAUUGGAGUCUGCAACCCGACUCCAUGAAGGCGGAGUCGCUAGUAAUCGCGAAUCAGCAACGUCGCGGUGAAUGCGUUCCCGGGCCUUGUACACACCGCCCGUCAAGUCAUGAAAGUGGGUAGCACCCGAAGCCGGUGGCCUAACCCCUUGUGGGAUGGAGCCGUCUAAGGUGAGGCUCGUGAUUGGGACUAAGUCGUAACAAGGUAGCCGUACCGGAAGGUGCGGCUG
rnacentral:rRNA from 1 species